UACGUAGGGACCAAGCGUUGUUCGGAUUUACUGGGCGUAAAGGGCGCGUAGGCGGCAAAUUAAGUCAUCUGUGAAAUCUCCGAGCUUAACUCGGAACGGUCAGGUGAUACUGAUCUGCUAGAGUGCGGAAGGGGCAAUCGGAAUUCUUGGUGUAGCGGUGAAAUGCGUAAAUAUCAAGAGGAACACCUGAGGUGAAGACGGGUUGCUGGGCCGACACUGACGCUGACAGCGCGAAAGCUAGGGGAGCAAACGGG
rnacentral:rRNA from 1 species